rnacentral:lncRNA from 1 species
AGUGGUCCUUGCUGAAGCUGGAGCUGCAUCUGCAAAGAGGCAACAAGUUUGAGCCUUAUUUUCCUUCUGCUGUUAAAUGCUACUUUGGGUGGACAGAAGGAAUUGCAGCAGUUUUUUGCUUUGGAGCACAUGUUGUCCAAGUUGCUGAGAAUCAAGGUACAAAAAUGCUCUGAAGCUCACAAAACACUGACCUGCUGCUCUAAAACCACAAGGAGCUGAAGCAAGUGCUGCCAUGCAGAGAUAGCCCCAAAGACCUGGAGCUGCUCCUGACUUACAUGUGGAACUCCCGACUGUGAACGUUUUUUCAGACUGUGCAUUCUAGAUCGCUCCACAUUAUGGCCCAUGAGUCACACAACGAAAUGUCUAACAGGACAUUUGUGUUAUGUCUACAGCAGAAAAAAGACCUCAGUGGUUUCACAUGAGAAAGUUGAAUCCUAAAUGUGGGUGGAAAAAAAGUAAAGAAAAGGGAUAAAAAGAUACCACCAGAUAAAUAUAAUACAUGUAUUCUUUUCCUGUAAAAGAUUUACUUAUGCAAAUAAAC